UACGAAGGGGGCUAGCGUUGCUCGGAAUCACUGGGCGUAAAGCGCACGUAGGCGGCUUUCUAAGUCGGGGGUGAAAUCCUGGAGCUCAACUCCAGAACUGCCUUCGAUACUGGAGAGCUCGAGUCCGGGAGAGGUGAGUGGAACUGCGAGUGUAGAGGUGAAAUUCGUAGAUAUUCGCAAGAACACCAGUGGCGAAGGCGGCUCACUGGCCCGGUACUGACGCUGAGGUGCGAAAGCGUGGGGAGCGAACCGG
rnacentral:rRNA from 1 species